CGAAAGAGUCGUGCGAGUUGUGUCAUUGUGCUCUCUAACUACUGUGCUGUAAGAUGCGUUCAACUUCAUAUAUACAUUCAUGUAGAUUUCUGAGCGUUUAAGUGAGACGGAAUACUGUUGCUUAUUUAUUUGUUUAAUAAGGAGAUUUGAUACGGUUGCAGAUAUUAUCGGCUGACCUCAUAUCAGACCUGCACCAUGAGCCGCUACAUCACAAGACUGAGAAUGAGAAGAACCUACAAAUGGAAUGGGAGACCAAUUGUUGAAGACAGGAAGCUGAAAAGGCAAUACUAUGAAUCCAUGUCCAUUUCUGUGGAGGGAAAGACGGAAGAUGCAACUGUGUCUUUAGGCCAGUACAUUUUGAUUGAGGGUGAUGACGAUGACAAUCCCUUUGUGGCACAACUUCGCAAACUAUACA